AAAAGUGUGAAACAGAAGGAGUUAUAAACCAAACGACCUGAAGACCAAACACAUUGGCUGAACAAGAAGUUGGAGAGAAGAAAGCUGCUCUGAUCAAAAUGAAAAACCUGCUGUAUUUGAUCCUCUUUUACUGUAUCUAUCAAUCGAGCACUUUGGACGAUGAUCUGGAAUAUAUUCUGAAAACACCUGAUGAAGAAAUGGAUGUGAAACCACUGCACCAGGCUCAAAUGCCAAAUCCCAAAAUUGGAA